rnacentral:lncRNA from 1 species
AAACAAAUAUAUACUAUUAAGCUCAUGGACAUUUCAACCAAUCGGCUACAGUAAAUUAUUCCGUUCGAGGAUCUCCUUCAGUGUCUUUUAUGUGGCUAUUUGCUUUACUUUACCUUGGUCAGGUAGCGUAGGAGUCAAUACUCACGUGAAAUGGGCGGAGUUAUUUACAGUAAGCAAGGAGGAAUUUAGUGAACACGCGUCUGUUAACGUCGGAACAACUUUGGCCGGGUAUGGUGAGAUAGCGCUCCGUAAGCCACGCCCCAGUGGGCAGAGCUAGGCAUGUUGGACUGUGACACGCAAGAAACUGGCCUUGCCGAAACCUCCCCCUCCUUAUAUUUUCCUUAAUUUUGUCAGUAGGGUCAAAUACUUUCUGUGGCACACAUCAGAGUCAAAUACUUGCUAGAGAACAAACUUCACUUCAGGAUAGGCAACCGAAAUUAAUAAUGAAUGUAUGUGUGUUAUAUUAAACAUAGAGGAGGGAUUGACAGCUUCCUUGAAGGAAACAAAUAAAAAAUGCAUUCUGCUACUAAGAUCAGUGAAAACUGACAACGGAGUGAAAAGCAGAAAUCUCAACUACCAAGCAAGUCGCAGCAAUGGAGAAUUGAGUGUGUGCGCGUCCUCCCAAAGGGAUGGAGAAUUCUGUCGGGGGAGAUUUUCGUGCAUCAGCAAGCCCCAGUCGACCCACGCCAGAUCCGCAUUUCCCACUCCCUCAAGCUGCACCAUGAGUUUCUCCAGCAGAGCCUGA